UAUAGGUUGGACCGGCAGAACUGCAGUGGAGAGUUUGCCAACCCAAAGACAUGCCACAUUCAUUGUAUAUGACCAUUUUUAGGAGGGCAUGUCCAAGGUCUUAGAGCUAUGCUUUUGAUGAUGUGACGAGCACGUUUACAUGCAAGGCUAAUGAUCAUGUCAACAUUCUGUUUUAGUGUUGACGGGACGAAAAAACUGAAGGAUGCAUUUGCAGCUCCAAUUCAAGAGUAGAGCGGCGGGGAUGUUGUGGGGAUGGUUUCUUCGUAAAUCAUCCUCCUCCCCCUUCCAAUGCCCAUUUUUACAGUCAUCUUGAGUUUGCUUUUGUGAACAUAGACUAUUUGUGUACACCUCCUCACUUACCCCUUCGAAGUGAAAUCUGAAUGAAUCAAGCAGGGGACUACUUAAAGGAGAAACAAAGGAGAACUAGAAGGCUUAUCGUUUGUAGAUUUUCAGCUGGUACAUGAGUCGGUGCUUAUUUUAUCAAAAUGUCCUUUACCAUGUCUUUCAAUUGAACAAUGCUUCUGACAGUCCUUGAAUUGAAGGAUGCAGGAAGCCAACUUUUAUUGGAAGUUUUGCAAAUUGUAUCGGUUUAAAAUGUUCAUUUCUGGGUAAUAAGGUUGGCAAGCUGGUAAUGAGCCCAGUAAAUGUUCAUUAUUUAGAUAACUAAAGCAAAUGAAUGUAUUUUGAGUA